UAAUACGGAGGGUGCAAGCGUUAAUCGGAAUUACUGGGCGUAAAGCGUGCGUAGGCGGUUCGUUAAGUCUGUUGUGAAAGCCCCGGGCUCAACCUGGGAAUGGCAAUGGAUACUGGCGAGCUAGAGUGUGUCAGAGGAUGGUGGAAUUCCCGGUGUAGCGGUGAAAUGCGUAGAGAUCGGGAGGAACAUCAGUGGCGAAGGCGGCCAUCUGGGACAACACUGACGCUGAGGCACGAAAGCGUGGGGAGCAAACAGGAUUAGAUACCCUGGUAGUCCACGCCCUAAACGAUGCGAACUGGAUGUUGGUCUCAACUCGGAGAUCAGUGUCGAAGCUAACGCGUUAAGUUCGCCGCCUGGGGAGUACGGUCGCAAGACUG
rnacentral:rRNA from 1 species